rnacentral:rRNA from 1 species
GACUGACCGAUAGUGAACCAGUACCGUGAGGGAAAGGCGAAAAGAACCCCGGCGAGGGGAGUGAAAAAGAACCUGAAACCGUGUACGUACAAGCAGUGGGAGCACAGGUUUACCUGUGUGACUGCGUACCUUUUGUAUAAUGGGUCAGCGACUUAUAUUCUGUAGCAAGGUUAACCGAAUAGGGGAGCCGGAGGGAAACCGAGUCUUAAUUGGGCGUUAAGUUGCAGGGUAUAGACCCGAAACCCGGUGAUCUAGCCAUGGGCAGGUUGAAGGUUGGGUAACACUAACUGGAGGACCGAACCGACUAAUGUUGAAAAAUUAGCGGAUGACCUGUGGCUGGGGGUGAAAGGCCAAUCAAACCGGGAGAUAGCUGGUUCUCCCCGAAAGCUAUUUAGGUAGCGCCUCGUGAAUUCAUCUCCGGGGGUAGAGCACUGUUUCGGCUAGGGGGCCAUCCCGGCUUACCAACCCGAUGCAAACUGCGAAUACCGGAGAAUGUUAUCACGGGAGACACACGGCGGGUGCUAACGUCCGUCGUGAAGAGGGAAACAACCCAGACCGCCAGCUAAGGUCCCAAAGUCAUGGUUAAGUGGGAAACGAUGUGGGAAGGCCCAGACAGCCAGGAUGUUGGCUUAGAAGCAGCCAUCAUUUAAAGAAAGCGUAAUAGCUCACUGGUCGAGUCGGCCUGCGCGGAAGAUGUAACGGGGCUAAACCAUGCACCGAAGCUGCGGCAGCGACGCUUAUGCGU